rnacentral:lncRNA from 1 species
UGGAAGGCUCUAGGGGAAUAAAGAUGGAAUGACUUCUAAUUUUUAGGUCCGUAUGAUUUGAAAUACUUUCACACAAACCGCGCGAAAGCGUUCCUGGAAAUCUCAGCCCCAAAAAGGACGUUUAGUAAUUCUAGAAGGGACUAUAGGAUGAAAAACAAUAGUUUUGGUAGUUAAAGUUUGAGAUUCGAUGGUGCCGUGGAUCCGUUUGGUCAUCAGGUGUUACGAGCCACACCCAUGUCUAGCUAGAAUAGUAUGUUAGGCUCAGGUUAGAGAAGAAACGGGGAACAAACUGAUGAAAAAAUGAUCAUACCAAGGGAAUUCACUCAGAACUAACAAGAAUGAUAACGUGCUCCGACUGGAGCGGUUUAGGAACUGCUGGAAGGCUCUAGGGGAAUAAAGAUGGAAUGACUUCUAAUUUUUACGUCCGUAUGAUUUGAAAUACUUGCACACAAACCACGCAAAAGCGUUCCUGGAAAUCUCAGCCUAAAAAAGGACGUUUAGUAAUUCUAAAAGGGACUACAGGAUGAAAAAUAAUAGUUUGGGCAGUUAAAAUUUGAGAUUCAACGGUGCCGUAGAUCCGUUUGGUCAUGAGGUGUUACGAGCCACACCCAUGUCUAGCUAGAAUAGUGUGUUAGGCUCAGGCUAGAGAAGAAACGGGGAACAAAUUGAUGAAAGAAUGAUCAUACCGAGGGAAUUCACUCAGAACUAACAAGAAUGAUAACGUGCUCCGACUGGAGCAGUUUGGAAACUGUUGGUAGGCUCUAGGGGAAUAAAGAUGGAAUCACUUCAAAUUUUUAGGUCCGUAUGAUUUGAAAUACUGGCACACAAACCGCGCGAAAGUGUUCCUGGAAAUCUCAGCCCAAAAAAGGACGUUUAGUAAUUCUAAAAGGGACUACAGGAUGAAAAACAAUACUUUUGGCAGUUAAAGUUUGAGAUUCGACGGUGCCGUAGAUCUGUUUGGUCAUCAGGUGUAACGAGCCACACCCAUGUCUAGCUAGAGUAGUGUGCUAGGCUCAGACUAGAGAAGAAACGGGGAACAAAGUGAUGAAAGAAUGAUCAUACCGAGGGAAUUCACUCAGAACUAACAAGAAUGAUAACGUGCUCCGACUGGAGCGGUUUAGGAACUGCUGGAAGGCUCUAGGGAAAUAAAGAUGGAAUGACUUCUAAUUUUUAGGUCCAUAUCAUUUGAAAUACGUGCACACAAACCCCGAGAAAGCGUUCCUGGAAAUCUCGGCCGAAAAAAGGAUGUUUAAUAAUUCUAAAAGGGACUACAGGAUGAAAAACAAUAGUUUUGGCAGUUAAAGUUUGAGAUUUGACGGUGCCGUAGAUCUGUUUGGUCAUCAGGGGUUACGAGCCACACCCAUGUCUAGCUAGAAUAGUGUGUUAGGCUCAGGCUAGAGAAGAAACGGGGAACAAAUUGAUGAAAGAAUGAUCAUACCGAGGGAAUUCACUCAGAACUAACAAGAAUGAUAACGUGCUCCGACUGGAGCAGUUUGGAAACUGUUGGUAGGCUCUAGGGGAAUAAAGAUGGAAUCACUUCUAAUUUUUAGGUCCGUAUGAUUUGAAAUACAUGCACACAAACCCCAAGAAAGCGUUCCUGGAAAUCUCGCCCCGAAAAACGACGUUUAGUAAUUCUAAAAGGGACUACAGGAUGAAAAACAAUACUUUUGGCAGUUAAAGUUUGAGAUUCGACGGUGCCGUAGAUCUGUUUGGUCAUCAGGUGUAACGAGCCACACCCAUGUCUAGCUAGAGUAGUGUGCUAGGCUCAGACUAGAGAAGAAACGGGGAACAAAGUGAUGAAAGAAUGAUCAUACCGAGGGAAUUCACUCAGAACUAACAAGAAUGAUAACAUGCUCCGACUGGAGCGGUUUAGGAAGUGCUGGAAGGCUCUAGGGAAAUAAAGAUGGAAUGACUUCUAAUUUUUAGGUCCAUAUCAUUUGAAAUACGUGCACACAAACCCCGAGAAAGCGUUCCUGGAAAUCUCGGCCGAAAAAAGGAUGUUUAAUAAUUCUAAAAGGGACUACAGGAUGAAAAACAAUAGUUUUGGCAGUUAAAGUUUGUGAUUCGAUGGUGCCGUAGAUCUGUUUGGUCAUCAGGUGUUACGAGCCACACCCAUGUCUAGCUAGAACAGUGUGUUAGGCUCAGGCUAGAGCAGAAACGGGGAACAAACUUAUGAAAGAAUGAUCAUACCGAGGGAAUUCACUCAGAACUAACAAGAAUGAUAACGUGCUCCAACUGGAGCGGUUUAGGAACUGCUGGAAGGCUCUAGGGGAAUAAAGAUGGAAUGACUUCAAAUUUUUAGGUCCGUAUGAUUUGAAAUACUUGCACACAAACCGCUAGAAAGCGUUCCUGGAAAUCUCAGCCCAAAAAAGGACGUUUAGUAAUUCUAAAAGGGACUACAGGAUGAAAAACAAUAGUUCUGGCAGUUAAAGUUUGAGCUUCGAUAAUGUCGUAGAUCCGUUUGGUCAUCAGGUGUAACGAGCCACACCCAUUUCUAGCUAGAGUAGUGUGCUAGGCUCAGACUAGAGAAGAAAUGGGCAACAAACUAAUGAAAGAAUGAUCAUACCGAGGGAAUUCACUCAGAACUAACAAGAAUGAUAACGUGCUCCGACUGGAGCGGUUUAGGAACUGCUGGAAGGCUCUAGGGGAAUAAAGAAGGAAUGACUUCUAAUUUUUAGGUCCGUAUGAUUUGAAAUGUGUGCACACAAACCCCGAGAAAGCAUUCCUGGAAAUCUCGGCCCAAAAAAGGACGUUUAGUAAUUCUAAAAGGGACUACAGGAUGAAAAACAAUAGUUUUGGCAGUUAAAGUUUGAGAUUCGAUAAUGCCGUAGAUCCGUUUGGUCAUCAGGUGUAACGAGCCACACCCAUGUCUGGUUAGAGUAGUGUGCUAGGCUCAGACUAGAUAAGAAACGGGGAACAAACUGAUGAAAGAAUGAUCAUACCGAGCGAAUUCACUCAGAACUAACAAGAAUGAUAACAUGCUCCGACUGGAGCGGUUUAGGAACUGCUGGAAGGCUCUAGGGGAAUAAAGAUGGAAUGACUUCUAAUUUUUAGGUCCGUAUGAUUUGAAAUACUUGCACACAAACCACGCGAAAGCGUUCCUGGAAAUCUCAGCCCAAAAAAGGACGUUUAGUAAUUCUAAAAGGGACUACAGGAUGAAAAACAAUAGUUUUGGCAGUUAAAGUUUGAGAUUCGACAGUGCCGUAGAUCCGUUUGGUCAUCAGGUAUUACGAGCCACACCCAUGUCUAGCUAGAAUAGUGUGCUAGGCUCAGGCUAGAGAAGAAACGGGGAACAAACUGAUGAAAGAAUGAUCAAACCGAGGGAAUUCACUCAGAACUAACAAUAAUGAUAACGUGCUCCGACUGGUGCGGUUUAGGAACUGCUGGAAGGCUCUAGGGGAAUAAAGAUGGAAUGACUUCUAAUUUUUAGGUCCGUAUGAUUUGAAAUACUUGCACACAAACCGCGCGAAAGCGUUCCUGGAAAUCUCAGCCCAAAAAAGGACGUUUAGUAAUUUUAAAAGGGACUAUAGGAUGAAAAACAAUAGUUUUGGCAAUUAAAGUUUGAGAUUCGACGGUGUCGUAGAUCCGUUUGGUCAUCAGGUGUUACGAGCCACACCCAUGUCUAGCUAGAAUAGUAUGUCAGGCUCAGGUUAGAGUAGAAACGGGGAACAAACUGAUGAAAGAAUGAUCAUACCAAGGGAAUUCACUCAGAACUAUCAAGAAUGAUAACGUGCUCCGACUGGAGUGAUUUAGGAACUGCUGGAAGGCUCUAGGGGAAUAAAGAUGGAAUGACUUCUAAUUUUUACGUCCGUAUGAUUUGAAAUACUUGCACACAAAUCACGCAAAAGCGUUCCUGGAAAUCUCAGCCUAAAAAAGGACGUUUAGUAAUUCUAAAAGGGACUACAGGAUGAAAAACAAUAGUUUGGGCAGUUAAAAUUUGAGAUUCGACGGUGCCGUAGAUCCGUUUGGUCAUCAGGUGUUACGAGCGACACCCUUGUCUAGCUAGAAUAGUGUGUUAGGCUCAGACUAGAGAAGAAACGGGGAACAAAGUGAUGAAAGAAUGAUCAUACCGAGGGAAUUCACUCAGAACUAACAAGAAUGAUAACGUGCUCCGACUGGAGCGGUUUAGUAACUGCUGGAAGGCUCUAGGGGAAUGAAGAUGGAAUGACUUCUAAUUUUUAGGUCCGUAUGAUUUGAAAUACAUGCACACAAACCCUGAGAAAGCGUUCCUGGAAAUCUCGGUCGAAAAAAGGAUGUUUAAUAAUUCUAAAAGGGACUACCGGAUGAAAAACAAUAGUUUUGGCAGUUAAAGUUUGUGAUUCGAUGGUGCCGUAGAUCUGUUUGGUCAUCAGGUGUUACGAGCCACACCCAUGUCUAUCUAGAAUAGUGUGUUAGGCUCAGGCUAGAGCAGAAACGGGGAACAGACUUAUGAAAGAAUGAUCAUACCGAGGGAAUUCACUCAGAACUAACAAGAAUGAUAACGUGCUCCGACUGGCGCGGUUUAGGAACUGCUGGAAGGCUCUAGGGGAAUAAAGAUGGAAAGACUUCUAAUUUUUAGGUCCGUAUGAUUUGAAAUACUUGCACACAAACCGCACGAAAGCGUUCCUGGAAAUCUCAGCCUAAAAAGGAUGUUUAGUAAUUCUAAAAGGGACUACAAGAUGAAAAAUAAUAGUUUGGGCAGUUAAAAUUUGAGAUUCGACGAUGCCGUAGAUCCGUUUGGUCAUCAGGUGUUAUGAGCCACACCCAUGUCUAGCUAGAAUAGUGUGUUAGGCUCAGGCUAGAGAAGAAACGGGGAACAAACUGAUGAAAGAAUGAUCAUACCGAGGGAAUUCACUCAGAACUAACAAGAAUGAUAACGUGCUCCGACUGGAGCAGUUUAGAAACUGCUGGAAGGCUCUAAUGGAAUAAAGAUGGAAUGCCUUCAAAUUUCUAGGUCCGUAUGAUUUGAAAUACUUGCACACAAACCGCUCGAAAGCGUUCCUGGAAAUCUCAGCCCAAAAAAGGACGUUUAGUAAUUCUAAAAGGGACUACAGGAUGAAAAACAAUAGUUUUGGCAGUUAAAGUUUGAGAUUCGAUGGUGCCGUAGAUCCGUUUGGUCAUCAGGUGUAACGAGCCACACACAUGUCUAGCUAGAGUAGUGUGCUAGGCUCAGACUAGAGAAGAAACGGGGAACAAAGUGAUGAAAGAAUGAUCAUACCGAGGGAAUUCACUCAGAACUUACAAGAAUGAUAACGUGCUCCGACUGGAGCGCUUUAGUAACUGCUGGAAGGCUCUAGGCGAAUAAAGAUGGAAUGACUUCUAAUUUUUAGGUCCGUAUGAUUUGAAAUACUUGCACACAAACCACGCAAAACCGUUCCUAGAAAUCUCGGUCGAAAAAAGGACGUUUAGUAAUUCUAAAAGGGACUACAGGAUGAAAAACAAUAGUUUUGGCAGUUAAAGUUUGAGAUUCGAUGGUGCCGUAGAUCCGUUUGGUCAUCAGGUGUUACGAGCCACACCCAUGUCUAGCUAGAGUAGUGUGCUAGGUUCAGACUAGAGAAGAAACGGGGAACAAAGUGAUUAAAGAAUGAUCAUACCGAGGGAAUUCACUCAGAACUAACAAGAAUGAUAACGUGCUCCGACUGGAGCGGUUUAGGAACUGCUGGAAGGCUCUAGGGGAAUAAAGAUGGAAUGACUUCUAAUUUUUACGUCCGUAUGAUUUGAAAUACAUGCACACAAACCACGCAAAAGCGUUCCUGGAAAUCUCAGCCUAAAAAAGGACGUUUAGUAAUUCUAAAAGGGACUACAGGAUGAAAAAUAAUAGUUUGGGCAGUUAAAAUUUGAGAUUCGACGCUGCCGUAGAUCCGUUUGGUCAUCAGGUCUUACGAGCCACACCCAUGUCUAGCUAGAAUAGUGUGUUAGGCUCAGGCUAGAGAAGAAACGGGGAACAAACUGAUGAAAGAAUGAUCAUACCGAGGGAAUUCACUCAGAACUAACAAGAAUGAUAACGUGCUCCGACUGGAGCAGUUUAGAAACUCCUGGAAGGCUCUAGGGGAAUAAAGAUGGAAUGACUUCAAAGUUUUAGGUCCGUAUGAUUUGAAAUACUUGCACACAAACCGCGUGAAAGCGUUCCUGGAAAUCUCAACCCAAAAAAGGGCGUUUAGUAAUUCUAAAAGGGACUACAGGAUGUAAAACAAUAGUUUUGGCAGUUAAAGUUUGAGAUUCGAUGGUGCCGUAGAUCCGUUUGGUCAUCAGGUGUAACGAGCCACACCCAUGUCUAGCUAGAGUAGUGUGCUAGGCUCAGACUAGAGAAGAAACGGGGAACAAAGUGAUGAAAGAAUGAUCAUACCGAGGGAAUUCACUCAUAACUAACAAGAAUGAUAACGUGCUCUGACUUGAGCGGUUUAGGAACUGCUGGAAGGCUAUAGGGGAAUAAAGAUGGAAUGACUUCAAAUUUUUAGGUCCGUAUGAUCUGAAAUACUUGCACACAAACCGCGAGAAAGCGUUCCUGGAAAUCUCAACCCAAAAAAGGACGUUUAGUAAUUCUAAAAGGGACUACAGGAUGAAAAACAAUAGUUCUGGCAGUUAUUGUUUGAGAUUCGAUAAUCUCGUAGAUCCGUUUGGUCAUCAGGUGUAACGAGCCACACCCAUGUCUAGCUAGAGUAGUGUGCUAGGCUCAGACUAGAGAAGAAACGGGGAACAAACUGAUGAAAGAAUGAUCAUACCGAGGGAAUUCACUUAGAACUAACAAGAAUGAUAACGUGCUCCGACUGGAGCGGUUUAGGAACUGCUGGAAGGCUCUAGGGGAAUAAAGAAGGAACGACUUCUAAUUUUUAGGUCCGUAUGAUUUGAAAUAUGUGCACACAAACCACGAGAAAGCGUUCCUAGAAAUCUCGGCCCAAAAGAGGACGUUUAGUAUUCUAAAAGGGACUACAGAAUGAAAAACAAUAGUUUUGGCAGUUAAAGUUUGAGAUUUGACGGUGCCGUAGAUCUGUUUGGUCAUCAGGGGUUACGAGCCACACCCAUGUCUAGCUAGAAUAGUGUGUUAGGCUCAGGCUAGAAAAGAAACGGGGAACAAAGUGAUGAAAGAAUGAUCAUACCGAGGGAAUUCACUCAGAACUAACAAGAAUGAUAACAUGCUCCGACUGGAGCGGUUUAGGAACUGCUGGAAGGCUCUAGGGGAAUAAAGAUGGAAUGACUUCUAAUUUUUAGGUCCGUAUGAUUUGAAAUACUUGCACACAAACCGCGCGAAAGCGUUCCUGGAAAUCUCAGCCCAAAAAAGGACGUUUAGUAAUUCUAAAAGGGACUACAGGAUGAAAAACAAUAGUUUUGGCAGUUAAAGUAUGAGAUUCAACGGUGCCGUAGAUCCGUUUGGUCAUUAGGUGUUACGAGCCACACCCAUGUCUAGCUAGAAUAGUGUGCUAGGCUCAGGCUAGAGAAGAAACGGGGAACAAACUGAUGAAAGAAUGAUCAAACCGAGGGAAUUCACUCAGAACUAACAAUAAUGAUAACGUGCUCCGACUGGAGCGGUUUAGGAACUGCUGGAAGUCUCUAGGGGAAUAAAGAUGGAAUGACUUCUAAUUUUUACGUUCGUAUGAUUUGAAAAACUUGCCCAUAAACCGCGCGAAAGUGUUCCUGGAAAUCUCAGCCCAAAAAAGGACGUUUAGUAAUUUUAAAAGGGACUACACGAUGAAAAACAAUAGUUUUGGCAGGUAAAGUUUGAGAUUCGACAGUGCCGUAGAUCCGUUUGGUCAUCAGGUGUUACGAGCCACACCCAUGUCUAGCUAGAAUAGUAUGUUACGCUCAGGUUAGAGAAGAAACGGGGAACAAACUGAUGAAAGAUGAUCAUACCAAGGGAAUUCACUCAGAACUAACAAGAAUGAUAACGUGCUCCGACUGGAGCGGUUUAGGAACUGCUGGAAGGCUCUAGGGGAAUAAAGAUGGAAUGACUUCUAAUUUUUACGUCUGUAUGAUUUGAAAUACUUGCACACAAACAACGCAAAAGCAUUCCUGGAAAUCUCAUCCUAAAAAAGGACGUUUAGUAAUUCUAAAAGGGACUACAGGAUGAAAAAUAAUAGUUUGGGAAGUUAAAAUUUGAGAUUCGAUAGUGCCGUAGAUCCGUUUGGUCAUCAGGUGUUAGGAGCCACACCCAUGUCUAGCUAGAAUAGUGUGUUAGGCUCAGGCUAGAGAAGAAACAGGGAACAAACUGAUGAAAGAAUGAUCAUACCGAGGGAAUUCACUCAGAACUAGCAAGAAUGAUAACGUGCUCCGACUGGAGCAGUUUUGAAACUGCUGGAAGGCUCUAGGGGAAUAAUGAUGGAAUGACUUCUAAGUUUUUGGUCCGUAUGAUUUGAAAUACGUGCACACAAACCCAGAGAAAGUGUUCUUGGAAAUCUCGGCCGAAAAAAGGAUGUUUAAUAAUUCUAAAAGGGACUACAGGAUGAAAAACAAUAGUUUUGGCAGUUAAAGUUUGUGAUUCGAUGGUGCUGUAGAUCUGUUUGGUCAUCAGGUGUUAUGAGCCACACCCAUGUCUAGCUAGAACAGUGUGUUAGGCUCAGGCUAGAGCAGAAACGGGGAACA